rnacentral:rRNA from 1 species
GUUAAGAAUCUUGCACAAUUAGCGAAAGCUAGAUGCAGCGACGCCGCGUGAGGGAUGAAGGCCUUCGGGUCGUAAACCUCUGUUCUGUGGGAUGAUAUUGACAGUACCACAGGAGAAAGCCCCGGCCAAUUACGUGCCAGCAGCCGCGGUAAAACGUAAGGGGCAAGCGUUGUCCGGAAUCACUGGGCGUAAAGCGCUCGUAGGCGGUUUGGUAAGUCGGAUGUGAAAUCCUCGGGCUUAACCCGGGAACUGCGUUCGAAACUGCCAGACUCGAGAGUGGGAGAGGGAAGCGGAAUUCCCGGUGUAGGGGUGAAAUCCUUAGAUAUCGGGAAGAACACCAAUGGCGAAGGCAGCUUUCUGGCCCACUUCUAACGCUGAGGAGCGAAAGCGUGGGGAGCGAACGGGAUUAGAAACCCGUGUAGUCC